GUGUACGGCCACAGUGCUGUGAUAACGCCUGCUCUCAUGGGAUCUCAGAGGCUGAGCGGGGCUGGGGCUAGUGAGUACUGGGAUGGGAGACCUCGUGGGACAGCCAGCUGCUGCACGCU
rfam:Callipepla squamata strain Texas jcf7180005233862, whole genome shotgun sequence.